GCACGAAAGGCGCAACGAUCUGGGCACUGUCUCAACGAGAGACUCGGUGAAAUUAUAGUACCUGUGAAGAUGCAGGUUACCCGCGACAGGACGGAAAGACCCCGUGGAGCUUUACUGCAACCUGAUAUGGAAUGUUUGUACCGCUUGUACAGGAUAGGUAGGAGCCGAAGAGACGUGUGCGCUAGCAUACGAGGAGGCAAUGGUGGGAUACUACCCUGGCUGUAUGACCAUUCUAACCCGCCACGCUUAGCGCGUGGGGAGACAGUGUCAGGUGGGCAGUUUGACUGGGGCGGUCGCCUCCUAAAGAGUAACGGAGGCGCCCAAAGGUUCCCUCAGAAUGGAUGGAAAUCAUUCGCAGAGUGUAAAGGCACAAGGGAGCUUGACUGCGAGACUGACAAGUCGAGCAGGGACGAAAGUCGGGCUUAGUGAUCCGGUGGUUCCGCAUGGAAGGGCCAUCGCUCAACGGAUAAAAGCUACCCCGGGGAUAACAGGCUUAUCUCCCCCAAGAGUCCACAUCGACGGGGAGGUUUGGCACCUCGAUGUCGGCUCGUCGCAUCCUGGGGCUGUAGUCGGUCCCAAGGGUUGGGCUGUUCGCCCAUUAAAGCGGCACGCGAGCUGGGUUCAGAACGUCGUGAGACAGUUCGGUCCCUAUCCGUCGCGGGCGCAGGAAAUUUGAGAGGAGCUGUCCUUAGUACGAGAGGACCGGGAUGGACACACCGCUGGUGUACCAGUUGUUCCGCCAGGAGCAUCGCUGGGUAGCUAUGUGUGGCAGGGAUAAACGCUGAAAGCAUCUAAGCGUGAAGCCCCCCUCAAGAUGAGAUUUCCCAUUUCUUCGGAAAGUAAGAUCCCUGAAAGAUGAUCAGGUAGAUAGGUUUGGAGUGGAAGUGUAGCGAUACAUGGAGCGGACAAAUACUAAUCGAUCGAGGACUUAACCAAAA
rnacentral:rRNA from 1 species